rnacentral:rRNA from 1 species
UACGGAGGGGGCAAGCGUUGUUCGGAAUUACUGGGCGUAAAGGGCGCGCAGGCGGCUGCUCAAGUCAGGCGUGAAAGGCCUGGGCUCAACCCGGGAAUUGCGCUUGAGACUGGGCUGGCUUGAGUGCGGGAGAGGAUGGUGGAAUUCCCAGUGUAGAGGUGAAAUUCGUAGAUAUUGGGAAGAACACCGGUGGCGAAGGCGGCCAUCUGGACCGCAACUGACGCUGAGGCGCGAAAGCUAGGGGAGCGAACAGG